rnacentral:rRNA from 1 species
UGAAUUGACGGGGGCCCGCACAAGCGGUGGAGCAUGUGGUUUAAUUCGAUGCAACGCGAAGAACCUUACCUGGGCUUGACAUCCCGAGAAUCCCCUGGAAACAGGGGAGUGCCUUCGGGGAGCUCGGAGACAGGUGCUGCAUGGCUGUCGUCAGCUCGUGUCGUGAGAUGUUGGGUUAAGUCCCGCAACGAGCGCAACCCUUGUCUUUAAUUGCCAUCAUUGAGUUGGGCACUUUAAAGAGACUGCCGGUGUUAAACCGGAGGAAGGUGGGGAUGACGUCAAGUCCUCAUGGCCUUUAUGCCCAGGGCUACACACGUGCUACAAUGGUCGGUACAAUGGGAUGCCAAGCCGUGAGGCGGAGCAAAUCCUCAAAGCCGGCCUCAGUUCGAAUUGGAGGCUGCAACUCGCCUCCAUGAAGUCGGAGUUGCUAGUAACCGCAGGUCAGCUAUACUGCGGUGAAUACGUUCCCGGGGCUU